ACGCUGUGUGAGCCGGGCCGGCCCUGCAGACAGCCCCUCCCGCCGCCCCAGCCAGGGUGGUGCUUGCGUGGGGAGGACUUUAAAUCCGGCCGCCAGACCCCUGGCCGGGAGAGGCGGAGAGGACCGGCCACCAUGCACAGCUCCGGCAGUCUGCUGCUGCUGCUGCUGCUGGCGGCCACCACGGGCCCCGCCCGCGCCCUCAGUGAUGAUGAGAAACGCGUGAUGGUGGAGCUGCACAACCUCUACCGGGCCCAGGCGUCCCCACCCGCCGCUGACAUGCUGCAAAUGAGGUGGGACGAGGAGCUGGCCGCCUUCGCCAAGGCCUACGCGCAGAAGUGCGUGUGGGGCCACAACAAGGAGCGCGGGCGGCGCGGGGAGAACCUGUUUGCCAUCACGGACGAGGGCUUGGACGUGCCGCUGGCCAUGGAGGAGUGGCACCACGAGCGCGAGCACUACAACCUCAGCGCAGCCACCUGCGACCAGGGCCAGAUGUGCGGCCACUACACGCAGGUGGUCUGGGCCAAGACAGAGAGGAUUGGCUGUGGCUCCCACUUCUGUGAGAAGCUCCAGGGUGUUGAGGAGACCAAUAUCCAUUUGCUGGUUUGCAACUAUGAGCCUCCGGGGAACGUGAAGGGAAAGAGGCCCUACCAGGAAGGAACUCCGUGCUCCCUGUGUCCUUCCGGCUACCGCUGCGAGAACUCCCUCUGUGAACUCAUCAGAGACCCGGAGGAGGCUCAGGAUUUGCCUUACCUGGUAACUGAGGCCCCAUCUUCCCUGGCAACGGAAGCUUCAAGUUCUAGGAAAAGCGGUAUCCCUUCUUCCGUGGCAACGGAAAAUCCGUCCUCCUUGGUAACAGAGGUCUCUGGCCCCCUGGCAACCAAGGCUCUUCCGGCUGUAGAAACCAAGGCCCCGUCUCCCUUAGCAACGGAAGAUUCCCCCUCCAUGGCAACAGAGGCUCCACCUUCCUUAACAACUGAGGUCCCUUCCUUUUUGGCAACUCACAGCCCCUUUGCCUUGGAUGAGGGGCCAGCAACCUUCUCCAAAUCGACCAAUGAUCCCAUCUCCCAAUUGGCAGACAAAGAGGCCAGCAGGACAAGAAUGCCCCCCAAGACCCCAGAGAGUUCUCUGCACCCCAAGAUGUUCUUGACAGGGACACGGGAGCCACGACCCCACUCCCAGAAAGCAGGCAAGGCCGAGGCCGAGUUGUCUCCUUCCAGUGAGGUCUUGGCCUCAGUUUCUCCAGUCCAGGACAAGACAGGUGGGCUGCCGGCCACAUUGGACCACGUGGGGCACACCUCCUCCAAGUCCCUGUCUAACUCCCCCAAUACCUCUGCCACCUCUAAUGCCGUGGGUGGGCGAACCCUGGCCCUGCAGUCGUCUUUGCCAGGCGCAGAGGGCCCUGAAAAGCCUAGCAUCAAGUCAGGGCUGAAGUCGGGCCCUGGUCACAUCUGGGGCCCCCUUCUGGGGCUGCUGCUCCUGCCUCUGCUGGUGCUGGCUGGAAUCUUCUGAAGGGGUCAUCACUCAAAGGGACAGAAGAUAUCGGUGCUUCCCAGAGACCCCUUGACCCCUCCUAGUCCCCUGGCUGCUUCUUUAAGCCAUCUGAGUCUGAGACUGUUUCCAGGAAGACCUUCUGCCUUCCCAGGGUGAAGAGAUCAGCUGUCCUCCUGCCAUCUCCCCCACCCUGUCCCCCGCCCCCAAACAAGAUGCUUCUCGGCUGAAGGCCUUCUGGGAGGGAAAGGCUGCAGGGCACGCCUCAUCCACAAGAUGCCUUUGGGGUGCGAGGCCUGGUUGGCUAUGAGUUCAGGUUGCCACCUAUGACUGCACCCCCUGCCUGGACCCCUCCUGCCCCUCCCACCUCAAUCCUGGGUCUGGGUGGGGGGUUUCAAGAGAGAGCCAGGUAGGAAAAAGUCUUAGAGGGAUCAUGAGUG